rnacentral:rRNA from 1 species
CCUACGGGUGGCAGCAGUGAGGAAUAUUGGUCAAUGGACGAGAGUCUGAACCAGCCAAGUAGCGUGAAGGAUGACUGCCCUAUGGGUUGUAAACUUCUUUUAUAUGGGAAUAAAAUGUUCCACGUGUGGGAUUUUGUAUGUACCAUAUGAAUAAGGAUCGGCUAACUCCGUGCCAGCAGCCGCGGUAAUACGGAGGAUCCGGGCGUUAUCCGGAUUUAUUGGGUUUAAAGGGAUCGUAGGUGGAUUGUUAAGUCAGUUGUGAAAGUUUGCGGCUCAACCGUAAAAUUGCAGUUGAAACUGGCAGUCUUGAGUACAGUAGAGGUGGGCGGAAUUCGUGGUGUAGCGGUGAAAUGCUUAGAUAUCACGAAGAACUCCGAUUGCGAAGGCAGUUCACUGGACUGCAACUGACACUGAGGCUCGAAAGUGUGGGUAUCAAACAGGAUUAGAUACCCUGGUAGUC